rnacentral:rRNA from 1 species
GAUGAACGCUAGCUACAGGCUUAACACAUGCAAGUCGAGGGGAAACGAUAUUGGAAGCUUGCUUCCGAUAGGCGUCGACCGGCGCACGGGUGAGUAACGCGUAUCCAACCUGCCCAUCACUUGGGAAUAACCUUGCGAAAGUAAGACUAAUGCCCAAUGACAUUUAUAGAAGGCAUCUGAAAUGAAUUAAAGAUUUAUCGGUGAUGGAUGGGGAUGCGUCUGAUUAGCUUGUUGGCGGGGUAACGGCCCACCAAGGCGACGAUCAGUAGGGGUUCUGAGAGGAAGGUCCCCCCACAUUGGAACUGAGACACGGUCCAAACUCCUACGGGAGGCAGCAGUGAGGAAUAUUGGUCAAUGGACGAGAGUCUGAACCAGCCAAGUAGCGUGCAGGAUGACGGCCCUAUGGGUUGUAAACUGCUUUUAUGUGGGAAUAAAGUCAGGGACGUGUCCCUGUUUGCAUGUACCACAGGAAUAAGGACCGGCUAAUUCCGUGCCAGCAGCCG